rnacentral:lncRNA from 1 species
GUGGUGGCUGGGUUUAGUGCCCAGAGUGUUUGUGUGCAUGUCUAUAUGUAUCCAUAUGACUGUUAAUGUGCAUAUGUGUGUUUGUGCGUGUGUGUGUGAAUUGAUGUACCUGUGUAUGUGUGUUGGUAUGUCAGUGUGCGUGCCCAAAUAUGUAUGUGCCUAUGUGUGUCUGUAUGAAGGAAUGGGGAUAGGAAUGUUGAGGAUAUUGUCUCAUAAAAGAAGCUGUACAUCCAGUUCUAGGUCAGGGCACCUACAGGAAUCUCAGCCUCCACAGGCAGCUUAGACUUGCCAAGACCACGAACAGGACUGAGUCACUGUAGGGGAAAAGAGGAUUAACACAAAAAAGGCUUUUUAUGUACUAUAGGGGGGGACAUCCUGACCCAAGAAGCAAUGCCCUAUUCUAGAACAGCAGAUUGAUGUCAAUCCUUUCAUCCCAGAGCCCAGUAAUGCCCUGACCCAGGCCUGGUGUUAAGGGUAGAGGCAAGUCCAGGAGUGAUGUCUUUAGCUAAGAAUCCUGGUGGAAAGUCUUUUUCCAUAUUUACCUCUUAUUUUGCAAAAUACUCACACUUUGGUCUCACUUAGAUCAUUGAUAUGGCACAUUUGGUCUUCCUGAGGAAUAAGAGAGUUCUCCACAAAGGCUGAAUAAAUGGGAAUUCAUCUUUCCUAAGCAGGAACCUAAGCAGUGCACAGGGAAGGUCUCAUUGUCCCCAUGUUUACAGGUCCCAGGAGAGUAGAACCCUGCCUCUCUUUAGCUUGCUUCUGGAAUCUGGGAAUGGUUUGGAGCCUGGAGAAGGAAGAGGCCAAGGCAGCAGCCAUCUGGGGCCCAGGAGGAUGGAAGUGCUGCAGCCCUGACUACACUGAGCUGUUGAGUCUGUACCUCCCACCUCCAACAUCUUCAUCUGCUGCUACCCUCCCUUUGGCUUGGUCAGGGACUACUGAUGCAGUCCUUCUCUUGUAGGCUAGUAUCGCUAGUAUCAUGUCAGAAUAAUAAAUCCUAUAGUUCAGCUCCCGUGUGUCCCUGGUUUUCUGUUAUUAUUGCAGUUUCAGUUUGUGAAACUGAAUUAAAAAAAAAAAACUCAUUUAAAAUAGAGCUGAGAGAAAAGCAGCCUAUGGAAUAGAAGAUAUUUGUAAAUGAUAUAUCCAAUAAAGGGUUAGUAUCCAAAAUAUAUAAAAAACUGAUGCAAUGCAGCACCCAAAAAACACAUAAUCCAAUUUAAAAAUGGGAAGAAGAUGUUUCUCUAUGGAAGACAUCCAGAUGGCCAACAGAUACAUGAAAAGAUGCUCAACAUAACUUAUCAUCUGGGAAAUACAAAUCAAAAUCACAAUGAGAUGCCACCUCACACCUGUCAGAAUGGCUAAAAUCAAAAACACAAGAAAUAACAAGUGUUGACAAGGGUGUGGAGAAAAAGGAACUCUUUUGCACUGUUGGUAGGAAUGCAAACUGGUGUAGCUACUGUGGAAAAGAGUAUGGAAGUUGCUCAAAAAGUUAAAAGUAAAACCACCCUGCAAUCAAUUAUUACACUAUUAGGAAUAUACCUCCAAAAUACAAAAACACUAA